GGAAAAUCCGCUUGCUCCCCUCACGUCCCCGGGAAGCAAGAGCCGAAGCGCGGGCCGUGGAGCAAGGCGGGAACCGGCGGCGGCGGCGGCGGCGGCCAGGGGCGCACGGGCGCGGCGGGGCUGCGCGCAAGCUGGGGCGCGUGGAGGGGCGCGGAGGGCGAAAUGAGUCUGGUAGGCGGUUUUCCCCACCACCCGGUGGUGCACCACGAGGGCUACCCGUUUGCCGCCGCCGCCGCCGCAGCUGCCGCCGCCGCCGCCAGCCGCUGCAGCCAUGAGGAGAACCCCUACUUCCAUGGCUGGCUCAUCGGCCACCCCGAGAUGUCGCCCCCCGACUACAGCAUGGCCCUGUCCUACAGCCCCGAGUAUGCCAGCGGCGCCGCCGGCCUGGACCACUCCCAUUACGGGGGGGUGCCGCCGGGCGCCGGGCCCCCGGGCCUGGGGGGGCCGCGCCCGGUGAAGCGCCGAGGCACCGCCAACCGCAAGGAGCGGCGCAGGACUCAGAGCAUCAACAGCGCCUUCGCCGAACUGCGCGAGUGCAUCCCCAACGUACCCGCAGACACCAAACUCUCCAAAAUCAAGACCCUGCGCCUGGCCACCAGCUACAUCGCCUACCUCAUGGACCUGCUGGCCAAAGACGACCAGAAUGGCGAGGCGGAGGCCUUCAAGGCAGAGAUCAAGAAGACCGACGUGAAAGAGGAGAAGAGGAAGAAGGAGCUGGUCAGUACCAGGGGGCGGCAGGCGGUGGGGCUGAGGGGGUCAGAGAACGGGUGCUCCCGGCCUCUUUCCAGCUGGGCUGAGAAAUGGCAUCUCGUGUUCUUUGGCUGCGUCCCGCGCCAAGGUUGUUUGCACCAGGUUGUGUAAGGAUGGCUUCCGGCAUAAGCAGAGAGUGAGGGGAGGGUGUCAGCAGGAGGAGGAGAAGGUUAGGGAUGCUUUGCGCUGGUGAUCUUACCUCCGGGUUAUCGCUGCUCCCCUAGUACUUAGGACGGACCUUGAAAACUCUGGGUCGCGAUCGAUCGCGAUCGCACUGGUCUGGACGCCGCACCCCGUGUCUGUUAGACCCUUCUUUUGGCCUCCAAUCCGAUCUUGCUUUCAGAUUUUUCCAGAAUAAGUCUCGAAGAAGCCCUUGAUUCCAAUUAUUUUACUAUUGAUCGCAGCCCCUACCCCACUCCCAAAAGGAGGCUGCCACUGAGACUGAGCCCUGAGUUUUGUGGUUGUUCUCAUACUAUCCCCGGAAGACGUAAUGGUAAACAUAAAAUAAGUACUUUUGACUUCAAAAUACAGCUCCAAUUUUUCCUUGGCUAUGACGUUAAAAUGUAAUUUCCCAGAUGAAUAUAUUCCAUUGGCAUUUCUAAUUUUAUUUGAAUGAGCCUGUAU
rnacentral:sRNA from 1 species